rnacentral:lncRNA from 1 species
GAUCGUUUUUGAGGGGGCGACCCCUUCUGCCACGGUGGUGAUCGCUAGGGUUGAGUGCGAUGUUGAACCUGUAAUCCUUUGCCUGUUAGGAUAGUUUUUGCUUUCAGUUAGCUGAAUAACCGGCUCUGACUCGUGUGCAUGUACACGCAGAAGCUGUUUUCGUUUUCAGUUAGUAGCUAGCUAGAUUAGUGCGGCCGUUGUGAGCGCAUGGGAUGGCAUGCAGCGUAGGACUCGGCCUGCACUCACCUCGCGCACGACGGGCGACGUGGGAUGGCACGUCCGGUAGGCUCGGCGGCGUGGAGGGUUUUUCGUUUCCCAGUUGAUGUACAAAUAAGCUGAAGAUUAAUGAGAAAAGCUGUUGAACUGUGCGCAGCACAAAAACCUCUGGCGUUUUCGUUUUCCUCUCUUUUCUCCUCGGCGAUCGUGAUCUAGGCCUCGCCGGAGCUCUCGGCUCCAACAAGUGGCAUCAGAGCCGCGUAGCUCCUCGGUGACCAUGGCCGGCUUGACUUCCCCGGCAAACGCUGCAGCCCACCAGCGCGACGGCAGCGACAGUGGUGGCGCGCUCUCGCCGACUCCCGACCGCGGUCGUAGCCGUGGUCGCAGCCGCACCCGCCGGUACGGCAAGGAGGUCGUCGUCCACGAGCGCACGGUCCAGGAGCGUCUCGUCCCGAGCGGCACCACCGUGUGGCCAAUGCUCACGCCGACAAACUACUUCGAGUGGUCUAUGUUGAUGCAGAUUAACAUGGAGGCCAACUUGAUGUGGGACGCGGUGGAAAGGAACCCGUCGAGCGUCCCCAACGACAAGGCGGCGCUGGCGGCCAUUCUGCGAUCCAUACCGCCGGAGAUGGUGGGUGCGAUCGUGGUUAAGAAGACCGCAAAGGAGGCAUGGGAUACGAUCAAGACCAUGCACAUGGGAGUCGCGCGCGUGCACGAGGCCACGGCGCAACGGCUGCGCUCCGAGUUUGAGGCCAUCGCAUUCCGCGACGGCGAGACGCUUGACGCAUUCAGCAUGCGGAUCACUUCACUCGUCAACAACCUGCGCUCGCUCGGCGACACCAUGGAAGAGGUGAGGGUGGUUCGGAAAUUCCUGCGCGUCGUCCCGCCCCGCUACAUGCAGAUCGCCCUCGCCGUCGAGAUGAUGCUCGACCUCAACACGCUUUCAGUUGAGGAGCUCGUCGGCUGUCUGCGCUCUGCGGAGGAGCGCUACCUCACCAACGAUCAAGGUGGAGGCGGCGGGGCUCAGCUCCUGAUGACGGAGGCGCAAUGGCACGCGCGCAAGAAUCAGCGCGGCCAAGGGCAGGGCAGCAGCCAGAACGGCGGCCAAGGAGGCCUCGGCGGACCAGGCGGGUCCGGCGGACAAGGCGGCGGCUCAAGUCGUCGCCGCGGCAAGCCACGUCGAGGCGGUGGCCAAGGCGGUGGCGGAAACGGCGUCCGUGAUGGCGCGCCGCACGGGGAACGCGACAUGUCUCAGGUGAAGUGCUACAAUUGCAAUAAACCUGGGCAUUUCUCGAAGCACUGCACCGAGCCGCGCCGUGAACGCAAGGAUCAGGCGAACCUUGCGGUGGCGGGCAACCAAGAUGAUGAGGCGACUCUUCUGCUCGCCACGGUCACCGCGCUCACGGUCACGACUGAGCGCCCGGUCGAGCGGGUUCUUCUCAACGAGGAACGCUCCCAGGCGCGCGUUGCCCAGGAGGGCGGCACCUGCGACACCUCCUGGUAUCUGGACAUCGGGGCUAGCAAUCAUAUGUCCGGUCGCCGCGAGAUCUUCUCCGAGCUUGACGUGGGAGCGCGGGGGACCGUGAGGCUCGGCGACGGCUCCAGUGUGCAGAUCGAGGGGAGAGGGACGAUCCUCUUCAAGUGCCGCAGCGGGGAACACCUGACGCUUGCAGAGGUAUACUACAUACCCCGUCUGUGCAUCAACAUCAUGAGCAUUGGUCAGAUGAAUGAGCUCGGCUGCGAGACGGUGAUCCACGACAGGGUCCUUCGCCUCCGCAAUCCGGAUGGGCGGCUGCUCGCGCGCGCGGCGCAUAACGUCGAGCGUCUCUACGUCCUUCCCCUGGCGCUAACCAAGCCGGUGUGCCUGCUGGCGAGCGGCGACGACACGGCAUGGCUGUGGCAUUCGCGCUACGGCCACCUGAACUUCAGGGCGCUGCGCGAACUCGCGCGCCUGGAGAUGGCAAAUGGCAUGCCCCUCGUCGACCGCGUCGACCAGUACUGCGACGGAUGCGCCCUGGGCAAGUAGCAUCGGCUCCCAUUCCCGCAGGCCUCGGCGUACCGCGCGGAGCAUGCGCUCGAGCUCGUCCACACGGACCUCUGUGGUCUGAUCGAGCCGGCGACGACCGGAGGUAAUCGAUAUUUCCUGCUGGUAGUUGAUGAUCACUCACGUUACAUGUGGCUGGAGGUGAUCAAAUCCAAGGAUGAGGCGUUUCAACGUUUCAAAAGGAUCAAGGCCCUUGCUGAAGCUGAAUCUGGGCGCCGGCUCAUGGCGUUCCGCUCCGAUCGGGGCGGGGAGUUCAACUCCACAUAAUUCCGUCUGUACUGUGAGGAUGGAGGGAUCAAGCACUGCACCACCGCGCCAUACACGCCGCAGCAAAACAGUGUGGUCGAGAGGCGCAACCAGACCGUGGUGGAGAUGGCGCGGUGCCUGCUCAAGAGCAUGGCCGCGCCCGCCAUGUUUUGGGGCGACGCGGUCAAGACCGCGGUUUACCUGCUCAAUCGAUCCCCCACGCGCAGCGUCGACGGGCAGACGCUGUACGAAGCGUGGCACAAGAAGAAGCCGGCGGUCCAUCACCUGCGCACAUUCCGGUGCGUUGCCCACGUCAAGCGAGUCGGCCCCGACAUCGACAAACUGGCCGACCGCUCAACGCCGAUGAUUUUCAUCGGCUACGCCAAAGGAGCCAAGGCAUACAGGGUGUUUGAUCCGGCCACGAACAAGGUGCACGUCACGCGUGAUGUCGUUUUUGAAGAACAGAGGAAGUGGGACUGGACGCCGGUGCCAGGCGCUGCGGCGACUCCCAAGGACGAACACUUUGUGGUCGUCUACAACGACGAACAGAGCGUCGACAUGCAGCCUUCCUCGUUGAGCUCAGACAGGUCGUCCUCGUCAUCCUCUUCACCAAGCUCCUACGCGCCGGGGAGCUGUCCGACUACACCGAUAACGCCAGCGUGCUCUCCAACCCCUGAUGACGACGGCUGGGCUACGCCGCCUAGUGACGACUGGGAGCGGCACGACCUCGACCAUGCGCCAACGCGCUACCGCAAGAUGACACAUGUACUGGCUGAGGUAGAAGUGGCGAGAGAAGACCAAGUGGGUCUCUGCCUCAUCGCUACUGAAGAACCCGCUGGCGUCGAUGAAGCGCUGGAGGAGGCGUGCUGGAUGCGCGCCAUGGACGCCGAGUUGGUCGCGAUCCGUGAGAACAAGACCUGGGAGCUCGCCGCGCUCCCGCCUGGGCACCGAGCGAUAGGGCUCAAAUGGGUGUUCAAGGUCAAGAGGGAUCCCGCCGGCAAGAUUGUGAAGCAUAAGGCGCGUUUGGUGGCGAAGGGCUACUCGCAGCGGCAAGGCGUGGAUUACGACGAGGUGUUCGCGCCGGUAGCUCGCAUGGAAACAGUGCGGCUACUGCUGGCGUUGGCAGCGCGGCAAGGGUGGCAAGUCCAUCACAUGGACGUCAAGUCGGCAUUCUUGAAUGGUUACCUGAUCGAGGAAGUCUACGUCCACCAGCCACCGGGUUUUGUCAUCGCCGGCGAGGAAGGAAAGGUGCUGCGUCUCCGGAAGGCCUUGUACGGUCUGAAACAGGCGCCCCGAGGGUGGUACGCCAAGCUGGACACGUCGCCUGCGCCGCUCGGGUUCGAGCGCAGCCCCCUCGAGCAUGCGGUGUACAGGAGGAGCACCGGCGCGGGGACACUGCUGGUCGGCAUGUACGUGGACGAUCUGAUCAUCACCGGCAGCAGCAUCGACGACAUCAAGGAGCAGAUGAGCAGUGUGUUUGACAUGAGUGAUCUCGGCCUCCUGAGCUAUUAUCUUGGGAUCGAGGUACGACAGAAGGACGGAGAGAUCACUCUCUGUCAGAGCGCGUACGCCAUGAAGAUCCUCGAAGCUGCUGCGAUGAGGGGGUGCAACGCUAGCGACACUCCUAUGCAGAAUCGUCUCCAGCUGUCCAAGACUGGGGCUGGCGACGCCGUGGAUGCCACACGGUACAGAAGCGUCGUCGGCAGCCUUCGAUACCUUUGCAACACACGACCCGACAUCACCUACGCCGUCGGCAUCGUCAGCAGGUAUCUGGAGGCGCCUGCAGAAUUGCAUUGGGCUGCGGUGAAGCAAAUCCUCCGCUAUGUUAGCGGGACUUUGGAGUAUGGUUGCUGCUACAAGCGGGGAGGUAAUGCAGCGCCGGAGGUGAUCGGCUACAGCGACAGCGACCACGCUGGUAACGUUGAUGAUCGCCGGAGCACGACUAGUGUGGUGUUCUUCCUCGACUCCAGCGCGAUCACGUGGAUAUCUCAGAAGCAAAAGGUCGUCGCCAUCUCGUCUUGUGAGGCUGAGUACAUGGCGGCGGCAUCUGCAGCAUGCCAGGGCGUGUGGCUGUGCAGGCUCCUUGGUGAGCUCACCGGCGACGCGCCAACGACGGCGAAGCUGCGCGUCGACAACAAGUCGGCGAUAGAGCUCAGAAAGAACCCGGUGCAUCACGAAAGAAGUAAGCACAUUGACAUACGAUAUCAUUUCAUUCGUGAAUGCAUUGGAGAUGGCAAGGUGGAUGUCGACCAUGUGGGCACUGACGGACAGCUUGCUGAUGUCCUCACCAAGGCGCCGGGCAGAAUCAAGUUCAUUGAGCUUCGACAGAAGCUCGGCGUCGUUAAGGUGAUCUCAGGGCACAAGGAUUAGGGGGUGAAUUGUUGAGCCUGUAAUCCUUUGCCUGUUAGGAUAGUUUUUGCUUUCAGUUAGCUGAAUAACCGGCUCUGACUCGUGUGCAUGUACACGCAGAAGCUGUUUUCGUUUUCAGUUAGUAGCUAGCUAGAUUAGUGCGGCCGUUGUGAGCGCAUGGGAUGGCAUGCAGCGUAGGACUCGGCCUGCACUCACCUCGCGCACGAGGGGCGACGUGGGAUGGCACGUCCGGUAGGCUCGGCGGCGUGGAGGGUUUUUCGUUUCCCAGUUGAUGUACAAAUAAGCUGAAGAUUAAUGAGAAAAGCUGCUGAACUGUGCGCAGCACAAAAACCUCUGGCGUUUUCGUUUUCCUCUCUUUUCUCCGCGGCGAUCGUGAUCUAGGCCUCGCCAGAGCUCUCGGCUCCAACAUGCGAGGCCCGGGCUUGGAGUACGGCUGGUCUGCUUAAGGGCGACCUCUCCUCCUUCCUUGGGUCCCUAGCUAGGUGGGUAGCGGGCGAAUAGUUGGCUAGCUUGUGGGUGGAUGGGGAGUCCGCAUGUAUUGUAAUCGCAUGUAAGACUCUGGCGGAUGGGGCUCUUUACCCCCUUUCUCUCUAUAAUAUAUGAUACACACGCUUGUGUGUAUCCUCAAAAAAAAAGCAAUAUUGCAUUUUCCCUUAUUUGGUUAGUUAGGCCAACUGAAUUUACUUACCUGUGUCCCUAACAAUCUAUUCCCUUCCUUUGUAGAAUAUUGCGCAUCACGACCAAUUCAGGCCAUGGAGAGAUGAUUUCAAACAGUACAAAGUUACUAUGGUAGAAAUAGAAUGAGAUCACAAACAGAAUUACAGAAGAGUUUGUGCUUUCUCGAUUGGGGUGUCACAGCCCCAGUUUCUCCUUGUUUUACUAGUUUGGUCUCCAUUGUGCAUCUUACACUGGUUGCUAUUGUUAUUUUGUCUCCAAAAACGUAGAGCUGAUGCUACCAGAAAGUAGUAGCAUAUCACUCCCCAAAAUCAAUUAUCUACAGACAGGGGUAUACCAUAGUUUGCUCAGCCUUUUCUUUCAGACAGAAGGUUUAUGGACGACAAUGUAUUGUUUUUAUAUGUGCAACUGCAGUCAUAACGUUGGAGUGCUCUCUGGUUCAUGCAUCUUUCUCAUGGAAGAGCAAGUGUGUACAAAUCAGCCUUUGGAUGGGAAAACCACUUUCUAGCGGAGUUAUAUACAUCUUUUUCUUUGAGUGAAAUAUACGUCUGUUUACAUCUGGGAUCUAGCUGCUGUUGAAUUUGACGUGGGGUUUGCCCAUGCUGAAAUUGAGCACCCUAGAUCUCAUGACGUACCUUUUCUUUUUUGACGGAACCUCGCUGUGCUCCUGAAGAAGAAUAUAUAUAUAGUUGGCUCGAUUUAUACAGAAAACUAGCUUGAAAAAGCAUACAAGGAAUGAUUGAGUAAGGGCCGAGCAUGCAAAAACCCUGAUAACGAAAAGAAAAAGAAAGAUCACCGGCCAAACUUGAC